GCUGGGCAUGGUGGCACAUGUCUAUAAUCCCAGAGGUUUGGGAGGCUGAGGCAGGAGGAUUGCAGGUUCAAAGCCAGCCUCAGUAAUUUAGUGAGGCUGUAAAAAACCUAGUGAGACCCUGUCUCAA
rnacentral:sRNA from 1 species